GACGAACGCUGGCGGCGUGCUUAACACAUGCAAGUCGAACGGAAAGGCCCUGCUUUUGUGGGGUGCUCGAGUGGCGAACGGGUGAGUAACACGUGAGUAACCUGCCCUUGACUUUGGGAUAACUUCAGGAAACUGGGGCUCAUACCGGAUAGGAGCUCCUGCUGCAUGGUGGGGGUUGGAAAGUGUCGGCGGUUGGGGAUGGACUCGCGGCUUAUCAGCUUGUUGGUGGGGUAGUGGCUUACCAAGGCUUUGACGGGUAGCCGGCCUGGGAGGGUGACCGGCCACAUUGGGACUGAGAUACGGCCCAGAAUCCUACGGGAGGCAGCAGUGGGGAAUAUUGCACAAUGGGCGGAAGCCUGAUGCAGCAACGCCGCGUGCGGGAUGACGGCCUUCGGGUUGUAAACCGCUUUCGCCUGUGACGAAGCGUGAGUGACGGUAAUGGGUAAAGAAGCACCGGCUAACUACGUG
rnacentral:rRNA from 1 species